GGCGGCGUGAAGGCUCUGCGAGUGUCUUCACCUCUGAAGCCUCUUUCUGAAGAAGCUCCUCUUCUUGUUUGGCUUCAGGGCGAAUACACUCUCAGACACUACACGCUCGCC
rnacentral:pre_miRNA from 1 species